rnacentral:rRNA from 1 species
CCUACGGGAGGCAGCAGUGGGGAAUAUUGCGCAAUGGGCGAAAGCCUGACGCAGCGACGCCGCGUGAGGGAUGAAGGUCUUCUGAUCGUAAACCUCUGUCAGCAGGGAAGAACGGUCACUGUGCUAAUCAGCAGUGAAUUGACGGUACCUGCAAAGGAAGCACCGGCUAACUCCGUGCCAGCAGCCGCGGUAAUACGGAGGGUGCGAGCGUUAAUCGGAAUUACUGGGCGUAAAGCGCUCGUAGGCGGUAUGUCAAGUCAAGGGUGAAAUCCCCGCGCUCAACGUGGGAACUGCCUUUGAAACUGGCAAACUGGAGUGUGUGAGAGGAGAGUGGAAUUCCAGGUGUAGGAGUGAAAUCCGUAGAUAUCUGGAGGAACAUCAGUGGCGAAGGCGACUAUCUGGAACAUAACUGACGCUGAGGAGCGAAAGCGUGGGUAGCAAACAGGAUUAGAUACCCUUGUAGUC